UACAGAGGGUGCGAGCGUUGUCCGGAAUCACUGGGCGUAAAGGGCGCGUAGGUGGCGGCCCAAGUCCAUGGUGAAAGCUCGAUGCUCAACAUCGAGUCGGCCACGGAUACUGGGUUGCUCGAGCACUGUAGGGGCAGAUGGAAUUCCGGGUGUAGCGGUGGAAUGCGUAGAUAUUCGCAAGAACACCAGUGGCGAAGGCGGCUCACUGGCCCGAUACUGACGCUGAGGUGCGAAAGCGUGGGGAGCAAACAGG
rnacentral:rRNA from 1 species